UACGUAGGUGGCAAGCGUUGUCCGGAUUUACUGGGCGUAAAGAGCGCGCAGGCGGUCGAUCAAGUCGCGUGUGAAAGCCCCCGGCUCAACUGGGGAGGGUCACGCGAUACUGAUCGACUCGAAGGCAGGAGAGGGUAGUGGAAUUCCCGGUGUAGUGGUGAAAUGCGUAGAUAUCAAGAGGAACACCUGAGGUGAAGGCGGGUUGCUGGGCUGACACUGACGCUGAGGCGCGAAAGCCAGGGGAGCAAACGGG
rnacentral:rRNA from 1 species